GACCUCAUUUUCAUGGUUCAGUGGUUAUAGUUAAAUUUUUGUGUUUUGGUCUGUUUUUUUCAUACUAUAUGCAAUAGGUCUACUAUAUUUGUUGUAUGGAAUAAUUGUAAGGUGUACAUGUCUAGCGGGCGGAUGUCAUGUGACCUUGACCUCAUUUUCAUGGUUCAGUGGUCAAAGUUAAGAUUUUUGAGUUUUGGUCUUUUUAUCUAAUACUAUAUGCCAUAGGUCAACUAUAUUUGGUGUAUGGAAAUAUUUUAUGAUCUUUAUGUCAGUCGCGCAGGU
rnacentral:lncRNA from 1 species